UGGUACCAUAUUAGAUUGUGGAC
rnacentral:siRNA from 1 species